GUGCUCACUUUUAGCAUAGAUACUAAAAUUGGAAUGAUACAGAGAAGAUUGGCAUGGCACCUAUGUAAUAAUGAUAUAAACAUUGUUUAAACAUUGAUAUAAACAAUGUUU
rnacentral:snRNA from 1 species